rnacentral:rRNA from 1 species
UGGUGGAGUGAUUUGUCUGGUUAAUUCCGGUAACGAACGAGACUCUGGCCUACUAAAUAGUCGACGUGGUGGUAUGGCCACGGUCGAAACUAUCUUCUUAGAGGGAUGAGCAGCAAGUGCAGCUGCAGGAGAUUGAGCAAUAACA